rnacentral:sRNA from 1 species
CACCGCCUGGGGAGUACGACCGCAAGGUUAAAACUCAAAUGAAUUGACGGGGACCCGCACAAGUAGUGGAGCAUGUGGUUUAAUUCGAAGAUACGCGCAGAACCUUACCAACACUUGACAUGUUCGUCGCGACCUUAAGAGAUUAAGGUUUUCGGUUCGGCCGGACGAAACACAGGUGCUGCAUGGCUGUCGUCAGCUCGUGUCGUGAGAUGUUGGGUUAAGUCCCGCAACGAGCGCAACCCUCACUUUUAGUUGCCAUCAUUUAGUUGGGCACUCUGAAAGAACUGCCAGUGAUAAGCUGGAGGAAGGUGGGGAUGACGUCAAGUCCUCAUGGCCCUUACGUGUUGGGCUACACACGUGCUACAAUGGCAUCUACAAUAGGAAGCAAAAUGGCGACAUUGAGCAAAUCCUAAAAAGAUGCCUCAGUUCGGAUUGCACUCUGCAACUCGAGUGCAUGAAGCUGGAAUUACUAGUAAUCGCGGAUCAGCGCGCCGCGGUGAAUACGUUCCCGGGUCUUGUACACACCGCCCGUCACACCAUGGGAGUUGGUUCUACCUUAAGGCAGAGUUUAAAACCUCUGACCACGGUAUAGUCAGCGACUGGGGUGAAGUCGUAACAAGGUAGCCGUAGGGGAACCUGCGGCUGGAUUACCUCCUUUCUAAGGAUGGUUAAGAAAAAUUUCUUAAUCUAAAUAAUUAACAGGUUAAUGUUGACCGUCCUCAUUUCUCUUCUUAAAAGUGUUUCUCUUUACUGAAUAGGGGCCGGUAGCUCAGUUGGUUAGAGCACACCCUUGAUAAGGGUGGGGUCGAAAGUUCGAGUCUUUCUCGGCCCACCAUUUUAUUUGGGGGAUUAGCUCAGCUGGGAGAGCGCCUGAUUUGCAUUCAGGAGGUCAGCGGUUCGAUCCCGCUAUCCUCCACCAGAAACACUUAGCUAUUAAAAUUGUGAAUAAAUAAAUUAUCAAUAUCUAUAUCCGAUUGUUCGAAAAGAUGAGCAAUCAAGAAUGUUCGAAUAGAUGAACAUUCCAACAAAAUUUGAUUCAACACAGAAUUUUUUUCUG